GGUAGGCAUACCUGGGAACUCUUGAGAAGGGUGGACCAACUGUCUGUUUCCAUGGGGAAUUAUCUACAUCAACACUCCUGAGAAAGAACUUAUCCUAAAGGAAAAGAAUACAGAUUAACAAGAUGUCUCUCUGGACUCACGUCUGAGUCACAAGAUUAGGGACUGCAAUCAAGAGUGGAAAAAAUCUUGAAGAAUUGACUCACUAAAGCUUCCGUCAGACAUUGACAGCUCAAUGGAGCAUUGCUUUGCAGCCCCUGUAAUGGUAAUCAUAUGAAAGCAUUUGCCCCACCCCAGGGUGACCGUGGGAACCUGGAGAAGUUAAGAAAUGAAUGUAAUAGACUGAACUGCAAGCUGUGGCAGUCUGGGUCUGGAAGGAGAAGAAGCUGUAGAAGAUAUUUUCCUUCAGUAGCUUCUCCACAGCCAUGGUGGGAGAUGGCAGAAACAGCCAGCAUCACUUCUGGGAGGUGGACCACAGAAGAGAAAAAGAAACAACAGACCCAAUAGGAUCAGAUCAAGUGCUCAGUUGGUUCUUCCUCCCUGUGUCCCCCAAACCAUCCAGGAGCAGGGGCUUGAAAGAUUUACAACACUUUACACUACUUCAACAGCUAUUUUAGUCCUUAGAUUUUAUUGCCCCAACCAUGGUCUCCUUGGGAACAGACUGAAUCUGGAUCCAGAAGUGGCUGCUGAGGGAGAAGGUAGACAAGGUAGACCAAGAGCAACUAAGUUACGAAAGCAUUUCAAGGAUGGAGUGAUCAACUGGACCAAAUGACACUGAGAGAUUAAGAAAAGAUGUAAUUCACAUUGGAUUGGUGGUAUGAUGGUUAUUCAGGGAAAGGUCAAGAUGAUUAUUGUGAAAAGUUUGGGAAUUUUUUUUUACUUUAAGUUCUGGGAUACAUAUGCAGAAUGUGCAGGUUUGUUACAUAGGUAUACAGGUGCCAUGAUGGUUUCUGCACCUAUCAACCCGUCAUCUAGGUUUUAAGCCCCACAUUAUUAGCUAUUUAUCCUGAUGCUAUCCCUCCCCUUGUCCCUCACCCUGCAACAGGCCCCGGUGUGUGAUAUUCCCCUCCCUGUGUCCAUGUGUUCUCACUGUUCAACUCCCACUUAUGAGUGAGAACAUGCAGUGUUUGGUUUUCUGUUCCUGUGUUAGUUUGCUGAGAAUGAUGGUUUCCAGCUUCAUCCAUGUCCCUGCAAAGGACAUGAACUCAUUCCUAUUUACGGCUGCAUAGUAUUCCAUGGUGUAUCUGUGCCACAUUUUCUUUAUCCGGUCUAUCAUUGAUGGGCAUUUGGGUUGGUUCCAUAACUAAAGGAAAAAGUGGACUCAUAAGAGAAGUUAAUUUUAAAAUAGAAAACUGGAAUGUUUGCCUGCUGAUGGGAGUGAUCCAAUAGAGAAAAUUAGUGCAAAAAAUGUGGAUAAACAAAAGCACUUAUACAUCAGGUAUAUAAGAUUGUUCUGUUCAAUGAUGUUUUGCUAUAACCUCGAUGAGAAAAAAAAAUCAAUUCCCCAGCCAUGGCCAUUUUCUGUGUGAAGUUUGCGUGUUCUCUUCAUGUCUGCAUUGGUUUCCUCCCACAUCCCAAAGCCGUGCCACUGGCAUCCCAUUGGCAUGUCUGAAUUGUCCCAGUAUGAGUGGUGUGGGUGUGUGUGAGGGUUCUCUGCGAUGAGAUGGCAUCCUGUUCGGGACUGGUUCUUACCUGAACCUCCAGGACAGGCUCCACAGUAGGUCACCACCUACAAUCUUGAACUGGAACAGUUGGGCAAGUAAUUAUCUGACUUGUUUGUAUUAAUCUUUCUUAAAAGUGUAGCUCACAUUUAUUUCAUUGUUUAAUAUUGGAAGUGUUUUGGUCUUUAUUUUGAAGGUUGGGUGAUGAUUUUGUGACCAGAAAUAUGCUGUAGGAAAUUAACUCUAGUUUAUUUCAAUUAGCCUAUGUUAAGUUGAUUUCCUUUUACAUCGUUUCACUUACAAUCGUAGCUUCCAAGAACCUAUCAAUGACAUUAAGUGAAGACUAUUUGUAUAUGCCGAGUUGUCAGUCUCUGCCGAUAGAAUAGGGGAAGGAAGUUAAGGAAUGAAGCCCACAAAUUCCUUCUUCAUCUCUCAAACUUGAGAAAGGGCUGCCCAUUAGUCCUCCUUGAUCAACUAAGUUUGAACUGUCUGCAAUAUCCUUGCCCUAUUCGACCCCCAGUAUGAACUAAGUGGAUAUGUAAGAUCUUACCUAUUUUUUCUGUGCCUGUUCAUUUUGUCUCAAAACAAAAACAAAGUGAAGGCUCAUUAAUGAGAAAUCAAUGAAACAAUAAUUGAUCACACACCUUUAACAGCUGCCUCCUCUUAACAAAUCAUCAUAUAUCUAACCCCAAGCCCAAACCACCACCACCGCAUAUGGCUCUGUUAUCCCUGUGUAGGUUCCUAGGCUAUAGGUCUCGGGUCUCCUAAGUCCAGCCCAUUCUAUGACCUUUUCAUUUCCACCUAUGUGACAAUAUAGAGUAGAUGCCUCUAUUCCCAACUUGGAAGUAAAGAAAAUCCUGAAAUGCCAGAAUUGAUAAGAGAGAUAUGAUAAAAGCAAUUUAAAGCAAAAUUUCAGAAGAAGAGAAAAGAACUUGGCUAAAACCUAAUUAGUAAUUUCAACAUUAUUUCAAAAAAAGAAUGUGAUACAAUUCCCAGACAGUGUGUGCCAUGGAACCCUGGGAAGGCACAGCAAACUCAUAUGGGUGCAGAGGGGUAUUUUAAAUUUUAGAGGAAACCAGCAAUUUGUCAGAAACAAUGUCAACUGCUAGUUCCUGGAGAUCCACACUUUCAACAAUAAACAUUGCUACAUUCUUUUUGAUGAUGUCAUAUCUUUGCAAACUUGGUUUUUAUGCAGUAGCUCUGAUAAAAAACAAUUGCUUUGUGAAAAUCACUGUGGGACAGAAAAUGAGAGUGGCAGUGUCCAAUCUGAUUCUGAGGUUUGAGAAAGUGCACGGUAUCCAACAGAUACACACAUUCUAUUAGCGUGUAAUUGAGGUCAUUUAAAAAUGAAAUACAUUUUUUUUUUCAAAAAAAAAAAGAAAAGUAUGUGAUCAUCAAAAAGAGGGUUACUGUCUCUGGGGCAUGGAACCAUGGAAGUCAAUGGGUAAAUGUUAGUGUUUGUUCCAUAAUGGGACCAAGGAAUCCAGCCAUUCAGUCCUGACAGCUGGUAUAUCCCUAAGGUAGAGCUGAGCAUUUAGCCAUCUUAGCCUGACAUCAUUAAAGACUUGAGCCACACUCUGUACCCAAUAAAUACAUCAUAAAUCCCGUCAUAAAUCAACUUCUCAUGUUAAUUUAUCUGCAGAAGACAAUACUGUUCUCAGAGUAAGAUAGGAUUUUCUACCACUGGCAUUAUGAAUUAACUAAUUGUCGUUCUUAUUUAUAUGUCCAUGCCCUAUGAGCUGGAUUAGAGUGAGAUUUGCCCUGUGGGAUGGUACACUGCACCCCAGAGCAUUGACAUAAUCAGUUGGCUACAUUUACGGAGUUCAGGGUCAAGGAACAGAACUUCUGGGCUUGGGAAAGUAAUAUACUGCAUGUAUAUGUGUGUGUAUAUAUAUAUGUGUGUAUGCAUGUAUAUAUUUAUGUUGUUACGUGUGUGUAUAUAUAUAUAUGUUGUUACGCAUAUAUAUGUAUGUAUGUGUGUGUGUAUAUAUAUAUAUGUUGUUACGUAUAAGAGACCACCUGAGAAGGCUUAGUGUGAGCAACAAGGCUGUUUAUUCACUUGGGUGCAAGUGGGCUGAGUCCGAGAAAGGAGUCAUCGAAGGGUCGUGGGAUUAUCAUUGGUUCUUACAGGUUUGGGAUAGGCGGUGGAGUUAGAAGCAAUUUUUUUUGUGGGCAGGGGAUGGAUGUUACAAAGUACAUUCUCAAGGGCACGGAGGAUGUUACAAACUACAUUCACAAGGGCAGGGAGGGUGUAUUGUCACAAGGGUGGGGAGGAAUGUUACACAGUACAUUCACAAGGGCGCAGGAACGUCACGAUGGCUUGAUUGUGGUGCGGCCAGCUCAGAGGACCUUACAUAUAUGUGUGAGUGUAUGUAUAUAUAUGUGUGUGUGUAUGUGUGUUUUGUGUGUGUUUAUAUAUGUGUGUGUGUAUAUACACACAUAAAACACACACACUAAACACACACAUACCUGUAACACAUACAAAAAUACAUAUAUACACAUACAUACAUAUAAAUAUAUACACACAUAUUAAAGUGCCUAAUACUUCUGCACAGUCUGAGAGAGAGUUUUUUCCCAAGUAUACCAGUGUCGGACUAUUUUGAUAAUCUGUACUUUGCAGAGUGGUCCAUUUAAUCCUCAUGUAAUUCUGUAAAGUAGGCACCAGACACAUUUUACAGAUGUGAUGAGAAGUAAUGCAAUUUGCACA
rnacentral:lncRNA from 10 species